rnacentral:rRNA from 1 species
UAAACGCUGGCGGCGUGCAUGAGACAUGCAAGUCGAACGGACACUUGGGGCUUGCUCCAAGUGCUAGUGGCGGACGGCUGAGUAACGCGUAGGUGACCUGCCCCGAAGUGGGGAAUAACUGCCCGAAAGGGUGGCUAAUACCGCAUGUGGUGGUGUGUUCAUUCACACCAGUAAAGCCGCAGGGCGCUUCGGGAGGGGCCUGCGUCCGAUUAGCUCGUUGGUGGGGUAACGGCUCACCAAGGCGACGAUCGGUAGGUGGUCUGAGAGGACGAUCAGCCAGACUGGGACUGAGACACGGCCCAGACUCCUACGGGAGGCAGCAGUCGGGAAUUUUGCGCAAUGGACGAAAGUCUGACGCAGCAACGCCGCGUGAGGGAUGAAGGCCUUCGGGUUGUAAACCUCUUUUAUCAGGGAAGAUAAUGACGGUACCUGAUGAAUAAGUCACGGCUAACUACGU